CCCGAGAUGAGUUCUCCCUGAGACUGUAAGUCUCCUGAAGGAACGUUGAAGACGACGACGUUGAUAGGCCGGGUGUGUAAGCGCAGCGAUGCGUUGAGCUAACCGGUACUAAUGAACCGUGAGGCUUAACCUUACAACGCCAAAGAAGU
rnacentral:rRNA from 1 species